rnacentral:lncRNA from 1 species
CCAUGACCAUCUUUCCUGUCCCGUCAGCCUCAACUUUACUCAUACAGUUUCCUCUUUUCACUUUGGUCAAGAGGAGGGGCAGAACGUUUGACUGGAGCACUAGCUAAUGGUAAUUCAUUGCUGCCUUUUGUCUUACAGCCUCUAAGAGAUCUGGACAGCAAAGGCCGAUGCAUUUCUCAGUUUGGGGUCAGUUUCUUUCACCGGCAGCGCUACAUAACUCAGAUACAGAGUGUUGGGAAUGCACUUGGGGAAAUACUGGUAGAGUCACGCAUAGUUGCUGAGAAUACAGGAAUCAUCUCCUGGCAGAGUUUUGGUGCGAAGCAUCCUUCUUUUCUUAUUCUGAAGAUGAGCACUGAGGAGGUGACUUACACAACCCUGAGAUUUCUUCAGUCUCCUUCAGAGGCACGGAAUAAACUAAGACCCAAUGCAACUAAACGGCCCAGAGAAGCUGAUGAGAAAGGUUUAUGUUUUAAGCAACUACACUGACCUGUUUCUUAUGACUUGCCAAGCUUCUGACAUUUGGAGGAAAGGUCUUAUCUUCCCCUUCUAAUUGUCAGCUGGUAGCGC